UACAGAGGGGGCAAGCGUUGUUCGGAAUUACUGGGCGUAAAGGGCGCGUAGGCGGCCUGUUAAGUCGAACGUGAAAUCCCCGGGCUCAACCCGGGAACUGCGUCCGAUACUGGCAGGCUUGAAUUCGGGAGAGGGAUGUGGAAUUCCAGGUGUAGCGGUGAAAUGCGUAGAUAUCUGGAGGAACACCGGUGGCGAAGGCGGCAUCCUGGACCGAUAUUGACGCUGAUGCGCGAAAGCGUGGGUAGCAAACAGG
rnacentral:rRNA from 1 species